rnacentral:rRNA from 1 species
UACAGAGGGGGCAAGCGUUAUUCGGAAUUAUUGGGCGUAAAGAGCGUGUAGGCGGUCAGGUAGGUCCGCUGUGAAAACUCGAGGCUCAACCUCGAGAUGUCGGCGGAAACCAUCUGGCUAGAGUCCGGAAGAGGAGAGUGGAAUUCCUGGUGUAGCGGUGAAAUGCGCAGAUAUCAGGAGGAACACCUGUGGUGUAGACGGCUCUCUGGACAGUAACUGACGCUGAGACACGAAAGCGUGGGUAGCAAACAGG